GGAGGGUGCAAGCGUUGUUCGGAAUUAUUGGGCGUAAAGAGCGUGUAGGCGGUCCGGUAAGUCAGAUGUGAAAGCCCUGGGCUCAACCCAGGAAGUGCAUUUGAAACUACCAGACUUGAGUACGGGAGAGGAGGGGGGAAUUCCCGGUGUAGAGGUGAAAUUCGUAGAUAUCGGGAGGAAUACCAGUGGCGAAGGCGCCCCUCUGGACCGAUACUGACGCUGAGACGCGAAAGCGUGGGGAGCAAACAGGAUUAGAUACCCUGGUAGUCCACGCCGUAAACGAUGAGCACUAGGUGUAGCGGGUAUUGACCCCCCUGCUGUGCCCGUAGCUAACGCAUUAAGUGCUCCGCCUGGGGGACUACGGUCGCAAGACUAA
rnacentral:rRNA from 1 species